rfam:Populus trichocarpa scaffold_4_contig_189, whole genome shotgun sequence.
ACUACAAAUAAAGAAACAGAUAAUAACUGAACAGUGUCUGGGCUGCAGGACAUAUUUUGACUUCUCUGUUGUUGCAAAGAUUUGGACUUCCAAACAACGGAAUUGAGUCUUGCACUCCUCAUAAAUGUUUUAGGCCUAUGUCUUAGCUUUCUAGC